rnacentral:rRNA from 1 species
AGGGAAUCUUCCGCAAUGGACGAAAGUCUGACGGAGCAACGCCGCGUGAGUGAAGAAGGUCUUCGGAUCGUAAAACUCUGUUGUUAGGGAAGAACAAGUAUCGUUCGAAUAGGGCGGUACCUUGACGGUACCUAACCAGAAAGCCACGGCUAACUACGUGCCAGCAGCCGCGGUAAUACGUAGGUGGCAAGCGUUGUCCGGAAUUAUUGGGCGUAAAGCGCGCGCAGGCGGUCUUUUAAGUCUGAUGUGAAAGCCCCCGGCUCAACCGGGGAGGGUCAUUGGAAACUGGGGAGCUUGAGUGCAGAAGAGGAGAGUGGAAUUCCACGUGUAGCGGUGAAAUGCGUAGAGAUGUGGAGGAACACCAGUGGCGAAGGCGACUCUCUGGUCUGUAACUGACGCUGAGGCGCGAAAGCGUGGGGAGCGAAC